GACGAACGCUGGCGGCGUGCCUAAUACAUGCAAGUCGAACGCACAGUUCAUACCGUAGCUUGCUCCAGCAUAGACUGUGAGUUGCGAACCGGUUAGUAACGCGUAGGCAACCUGCCUGGUAGCGGGGGAUCACUAAUGGUAACGAUAGCUAAUACCGAACAAUAUUAAUUAUUGCCUGAUAAUUAAUUCAAAUUUGCAAUGGCACAACUAACCGAGGGACCUGCGUUGUUUUAGCUAGUAGGGGAGGUAACGGACCACCGAGGCGACUAUACAUAGCCGAUCUGAGGGGGAGAUCGCCCACACUGGGACUGAGACACGGCCCAGACUCCUGGGGGGGGCAGCAGCAGGGAAUCUUCGGCGAUGGACGAAAGUCUGACCGAGCAACGCCGCGUGAGUGAAGAAGGUUUUCGGAUCGUAAAGCUCUGUUGGAAGAGAAGAACGGGUGUGAGUGUGGAAAGGACACACUGUGACGGUAUCGGACCAGAAGCGGAGGGCUAACUACGU
rnacentral:rRNA from 1 species